GAUGAACGCUGGCGGCGUGCCUAAUACAUGCAAGUCGAGCGAACGGACGAGAAGCUUGCUUCUCUGAUGUUAGCGGCGGACGGGUGAGUAACACGUGGAUAACCUACCUAUAAGACUGGGAUAACUUCGGGAAACCGGAGCUAAUACCGGAUAAUAUUUUGAACCGCAUGGUUCAAAAGUGAAAGACGGUCUUGCUGUCACUUAUAGAUGGAUCCGCGCUGCAUUAGCUAGUUGGUAAGGUAACGGCUUACCAAGGCAACGAUGCAUAGCCGACCUGAGAGGGUGAUCGGCCAAACUGGAACUGAGACACGGUCCAGACUCCUACGGGAGGCAGCAGUAGGGAAUCUUCCGCAAUGGGCGAAAGCCUGACGGAGCAACGCCGCGUGAGUGAUGAAGGUCUUCGGAUCGUAAAACUCUGUUAUUAGGGAAGAACAUAUGUGUAAGUAACUGUGCACAUCUUGACGGUACCUAAUCAGAAAGCCACGGCUAACUACGUG
rnacentral:rRNA from 1 species